UACGGAGGAUCCGAGCGUUAUCCGGAUUUAUUGGGUUUAAAGGGUGCGCAGGCGGGGGAUUAAGUCGGCGGUGAAAUUUUGCAGCUCAACUGUAAAAGUGCCAUCGAUACUGGUUUUCUUGAGUGUGGAUGAAGUAGGCGGAAUUUGUGGUGUAGCGGUGAAAUGCAUAGAUAUCACGAGGAACUCCGAUUGCGCAGGCAGCUUACUAAACUACUACUGACGCUCAGGCACGAAGGCGUGGGGAUCAAACAGGAUUAGAUA
rnacentral:rRNA from 1 species